UAAAGCAAAGAAGAGCGCAGAGUGAAUGCCUUGGCAUUGAGAGCCGAAGAAGGACGUGGUUAACUGCGAUAAGCAGCGGGGAGUUGUAAGCAAGCAUUGAUCCGCUGAUUUCCGAAUGGAGCAAUCCGCAUGAAGUAGUUCAUGCAUCCAUAUGUGAAUCAAUAGCAUAUGGAGGGGAACCGCCUGAACUGAAACAUCUAAGUAGGGCGAGGAAGAGAAAUCAACCGAGAUUCCGCUAGUAGUGGCGAGCGAACGCGGAAGAGGCCAAACCAAGGGUAGUAAUACCUUUGGGGUAUGGACAGCAUACGGUAUUGAAGAUCGAUAGUGGAAUGAAAUGGGAAGUUCAACCAUAGAGUGUGAGAGUCACGUACACGAAAUUGAGAAUCAGCCAGCUGUAUCCAGAGUACCGCCGGACACGUGAAACCCGGUGGGAAUACGGGGGGACCAUCCUCCAAGCCUAAAUACUACUCGGUGACCGAUAGUGAAGAAGUACUGUGAAGGAAAGGUGAAAAGUACCCCUGACGGGGAGUGAAAAAGAACCUGAAACCUUGUGUUUACAAGCACCGAAAGCUCAUCAAAGAGCGAUCGGGUACCUUUUGUAGAAUGGUCCGGCGAGUGAAUGUAACCGGCGAGGUUAAGCACUUAAGGUGUGAAGCCGCAGCGAGAGCAAGUCUGAAUAGGGCGUAUGAAGUCGGUUGUAUUCGACCCGAAACCGGGUGACCUACCCAUGGUCAGGUUGAAGUAAAGGUAAAACUUUAUGGAGGACCGAACCGACUCCCGUUGAAAUGGUAGCGGAUGAACUGUGGGUAGCGGAGAAAUUCCAAUCGAACCCGGAGAUAGCUGGUUCUCUCCGAAAUAGCUUUAGGGCUAGCCUUGAAAUAGAUUACCGGAGGUAAAGCACUGAAUUGGCUAGGGGCCGAGAGGUUACUGAACCUUAUCAAACUAAGAAUGCCGGAUAAUCGUUUUUCAGGAGUCAGACAGUGGGAGAUAAGUUUCAUUGUCAAAAGGGAAACAGCCCAGACCCACAGCUAAGGUCCCCAAGUAUAGUUAAGUGGAAAAGGAUGUGGAAUUGCACAGACAACCAGGAUGUUGGCUUAGAAGCAGCCACUCAUUUAAAGAGUGCGUAAUAGCUCACUGGUCGAGUGAUCCUGCGCCGAAAAUUUCCGGGGCUAAAACGUACUACCGAAGCUACGGCAUCAUUUAUGAUGGGUAGGAGAGCUUCCCAUACGGGUUGAAGCAUGACCGAAAGGACAUGUGGACUGUAUGGGAGUGAGAAUGUUGGCAUGAGUAGCGAGAUGUGGGUGAGAAUCCCACAGGCCGUAAACCCAAGGUUUCCAGGGGAAGGUUCGUCCGCCCUGGGUUAGUCAGGACCUAAGCCGAGGCCGAAAGGCGUAGGUGAUGGACAACAGGUUGAUAUUCCUGUACCACCAAUAACCGUUUGAGAAAUGGGAUGACACAGUAGGAUAAGCUAACCGCACUGUUGGUUAUGUGCGGGCAAGUAUUGAGGCAGUUCCGAUAGGCAAAUCCGUCGGAAUAAUGCUGGGGUACGAUGCGGAGCGAAAUUAAGUAGCGAAGUAGCUGAUUUCACACUGUCGAGAAAAGUCUCUAUCGAGGUUAAAGGUGCCUGUACCGCAAACCGACACAGGUGGGUGAGGAGAGUAUCCUAAGGCCAGCGAGAGAACUGUUGUUAAGGAACUCGGCAAAAUGACCCCGUAACUUCGGGAGAAGGGGUGCCUUCGAAAGAAGGCCGCAGAGAAUAGGCCCAAGCGACUGUUUACCAAAAACAUAGGUUUCUGCUAAGUCGCAAGACGAUGUAUAGGAGCUGACGCCUGCCCGGUGCUGGAAGGUUAAGGGGAUCUGUUAGAGCAAUCGAAGCAGUGAACUUAAGCCCCAGUAAACGGCGGCCGUAACUAUAACGGUCCUAAGGUAGCGAAAUUCCUUGUC
rnacentral:rRNA from 1 species